rnacentral:rRNA from 1 species
GUUUGAUUCUGGCUCAGGAUGAACGCCGGCGGUGUGCCUAAUACAUGCAAGUCGUACGCACUGGCCCAACUGAUUGAUGGUGCUUGCACCUGAUUGAAGAUGGAUCACCAGUGAGUGGCGGACGGGUGAGUAACACGUAGGUAACCUGCCCCGGAGCGGGGGAUAACAUUUGGAAACAGAUGCUAAUACCGCAUAACAACAAAAGCCACAUGGCUUUUGUUUGAAAGAUGGCUUUGGCUAUCACUCUGGGAUGGACCUGCGGUGCAUUAGCUAGUUGGUAAGGUAACGGCUCACCAAGGCGAUGAUGCAUAGCCGAGUUGAGAGACUGAUCGGCCACAAUGGAACUGAGACACGGUCCAUACUCCUACGGGAGGCAGCAGUAGGGAAUCUUCCACAAUGGGCGCAAGCCUGAUGGAGCAACACCGCGUGAGUGAAGAAGGGUUUCGGCUCGUAAAGCUCUGUUGUUGGAGAAGAACGUGCGUGAGAGUAACUGUUCACGCAGUGGCGGUAUCCAACCAGAAAGUCACGGCUAACUACGUGCCAGCAGCCGCGGUAAUACGUAGGUGGCAAGCGUUAUCCGGAUUUAUUGGGCGUAAAGCGAGCGCAGGCGGUUGCUUAGGUCUGAUGUGAAAGCCUUCGGCUUAACCGAAGAAGUGCAUCGGAAACCGGGCGACUUGAGUGCAGAAGAGGACAGUGGAACUCCAUGUGUAGCGGUGGAAUGCGUAGAUAUAUGGAAGAACACCAGUGGCGAAGGCGGCUGUCUGGUCUGCAACUGACGCUGAGGCUCGAAAGCAUGGGUAGCGAACAGGAUUAGAUACCCUGGUAGUCCAUGCCGUAAACGAUGAGUGCUAGGUGUUGGAGGGUUUCCGCCCUUCAGUGCCGGAGCUAACGCAUUAAGCACUCCGCCUGGGGAGUACGACCGCAAGGUUGAAACUCAAAGGAAUUGACGGGGGCCCGCACAAGCGGUGGAGCAUGUGGUUUAAUUCGAAGCUACGCGAAGAACCUUACCAGGUCUUGACAUCUUGCGCUAACCUUAGAGAUAAGGCAUUCCCUUCGGGGACGCAAUGACAGGUGGUGCAUGGUCGUCGUCAGCUCGUGUCGUGAGAUGUUGGGUUAAGUCCCGCAACGAGCGCAACCCUUGUUACUAGUUGCCAGCAUUAAGUUGGGCACUCUAGUGAGACUGCCGGUGACAAACCGGAGGAAGGUGGGGACGACGUCAGAUCAUCAUGCCCCUUAUGACCUGGGCUACACACGUGCUACAAUGGACGGUACAACGAGUCGCAAGCUCGCGAGAGUAAGCUAAUCUCUUAAAGCCGUUCUCAGUUCGGACUGUAGGCUGCAACUCGCCUACACGAAGUCGGAAUCGCUAGUAAUCGCGGAUCAGCAUGCCGCGGUGAAUACGUUCCCGGGCCUUGUACACACCGCCCGUCACACCAUGGGAGUUUGUAACGCCCAAAGUCGGUGGCCUAACCUUUAUGGAGGGAGCCGCCUAAGGCGGGACAGAUGACUGGGGUGAAGUCGUAACAAGGUAUCC